GAGUUUGAUCCUGGCUCAGGACGAACGCUGGCGGCAUGCCUAACACAUGCAAGUCGAACGGAGAUUAUUUCGAUAAUCUUAGUGGCGAACGGGUGAGUAACGCGUGGGCAACCUGCCCUCUAGAUGGGGACAACAUCCCGAAAGGGGUGCUAAUACCGAAUGUGACAGCAAUCUCGCAUGAGGAUGCUGUGAAAGAUGGCCUCUAUUUAUAAGCUAUCGCUAGAGGAUGGGCCUGCGUCUGAUUAGCUAGUUGGUGGGGUAAUGGCCUACCAAGGCGAUGAUCAGUAGCCGGUCUGAGAGGAUGAACGGCCACAUUGGGACUGAGACACGGCCCAGACUCCUACGGGAGGCAGCAGUGGGGAAUCUUCCGCAAUGGGCGAAAGCCUGACGGAGCAAUGCCGCGUGAGUGAUGAAGGAAUUCGUUCCGUAAAGCUCUUUUGUUUAUGACGAAUGUGCAGAUUGUGAACAAUGAUUUGUAAUGACGGUAGUAAACGAAUAAGCCACGGCUAACUACGUGCCAGCAGCCGCGGUAAUACGUAGGUGGCGAGCGUUGUCCCGAAUUAUUGGGCGUAAAGAGCAUGUAGGCGGUUUUUUAAGUCUGGAGUGAAAAUGCGGGGCUCAACCCCGUAUGGCUCUGGAUACUGGAAGACUUGAGUGCAGGAGAGGAAAGGGGAAUUCCCAGUGUAGCGGUGAAAUGCGUAGAUAUUGGGAGGAACACCAGUGGCGAAGGCGCCUUUCUGGACUGUGUCUGACGCUGAGAUGCGAAAGCCAGGGUAGCGAACGGGAUUAGAUACCCCGGUAGUCCUGGCCGUAAACGAUGGGUACUAGGUGUAGGAGGUAUCGACCCCUUCUGUGCCGGAGUUAACGCAAUAAGUACCCCGCCUGGGGAGUACGUCCGCAAGGAUGAAACUCAAAGGAAUUGACGGGGGCCCGCACAAGCUGUGGAGUAUGUGGUUUAAUUCGACGCAACGCGAAGAACCUUACCAAGGCUUGACAUUGAAUGACCGCUUCAGAGAUGAAGCUUUCCCUUCGGGGACAUGAAAACAGGUGGCACAUGGCUGUCGUCAGCUCGUGUCGAGAGAUGUUGGGUUAAGUCCCCCAACGAGCGCAACCCCUAUCCUAUGUUACCCGCGGGUAAUGCCGGGGACUCAUAAGAGACUGCCAGGGACGACUUCCAGAAGGCGGGGAUGACUUCAAGUCUUCUGCCCCUUUAUGCCUUGGGGUACACACGUACUACAAAGGGCCGCAACCAGAGGGAAGCAAACCCCCUAAGCCAAACCAAACCCCGAAAACCGGAUCUCAUUCCGGAUGCAAGAUUCACCCCCCCUGCUGGAAGUCGGAACCCUAAUAAUCGCAAGGAAGCAAACUGGGGGUGAUAAAAUCCCCGGGGCCUGGUACAAAAGGCGGGUAAACCCCCAAAGGGGGGGAAACCCCAAAGCGGGGGGGGUAACCGAAGGGAGCCGGUCACCCAAGGGGGGGGGGAGAAUGGGCGUGAAUUCUCACAAGUAACCGAAAAGCCAAAUCCCGGCCCCAAAAAUAAAUUGCCCUAAGGGGGCCGUUUCAAUACUAGGCGGGGGGUUGGAGNNNNGNGGGGGGGAAUUUUUUNNNUCCCCCAAAAAAAAAAAUUAAGAGACCUCCCCCCUUGAAGAAAAAAAAGGGGGGAGAGGUUUUUUCCCCCCGGGGGGGGUGUGUGUUGUGCUUCCAGAGAGAAAAUUCCCCCCUUCCCCGGGGGGGGGGGGGUUUUAAACCCCGGUUCUCCCAGAGAGGGGAGAUUUUUUUUUUCCUCCUCUUCUACAAAAACAAGGCGGCGAAGAGAAAAGGAGAGGACCACCCACACCUCUUUUUUNUCCCCCUUUCCUGGGGGGGGGGGGGGGCUCC
rnacentral:rRNA from 1 species